AGAUAUGAAUUUAGAGAGCAGUUCAGUACUAUAUCAUUUUAGCAGAACAGUAGUUGUGGUUUCUGGACCCUAUGACCUCUCAAUCAUAGGUUGAAAUAAGUGAAUCUUAUCCAAAUGUUUAAACACUCCGAAGAAAUUAACCAUUAGAGAGUUUUAGGAAAUUUAUCCAACAACAGUGUAUAUGUAGAUAUUGUUAAUUUUGAAAACUCAAUGCUACUUUGUACUGUAGUUAAUAUUUCCAAACAGAGAAAUGAAACUUAUUUAGAUGCUUUAAUGAAAGUUACAUUUUUCGGGGCUGGAGAGAUGGCUCAGCAGUUAAGAGCACUGACUGCUCCUCCAAAGGUCCUGAGUUCAAAUCCCAGGAACCACAUGGUGGCUCACAACCUUAUAUAAUGAGAUCUGAUGCCUUCUGUGUGUCUGAAGAUACCUACAGUGUACUUAUAAUAAAUAAAUAAAUACAUAAAUAAAUUUUAAAAUUACAUUUUUCUACUUAUGUCCAAUAAGGGGGAAAUACUGUCUUUUCAUUCAUAUUUUUAGAAUUUAAUGGCAGUAAUCAGAAUUUAUGAACUUUAAUUUUAUGAUAAAUUAUGUAUUAGCCGUUAAAACUAUACAUGCACAUCUGUACUAAGAAUACUUUAUGGAUUCAGGAAGACAAACUUUAGACCAUGGCUACGUUCCUUCAUAACUUUGAGAAGGGCUCAGUGCUGAUGAACGCUGCCCUGACUUGAAGCCUCAAUUAGCCAUAUUUUGGCACUAUGCUAAGGUUGAGCUGGUUUUCCCCAACUUCCAGAUAUUCAAAGAGUAAAACAUAUAGUUCAAAGUGCUGAAACUGGUACCUUCAAACAGCUUACAGUCAAGGAAGCUGUGCUGAGUGGUUUGGUGGCCACUGAGGUGUGGAUGUGAUUUUAUAUCAGAGACAUCAUAGGCAAAUGUGGCAUUAUUGGCAUUAUGAUGUUUAAAGAUAAAUCUUUAACAUCUGAUUUUAUUUGAGUUCUUAUUUGAAUGUUCUUGGACUAUGUAUAAUGAGACUGCUAUCUGAAUAAAGUACUAGCCUUUUUGUUCAUUGUUGGCUGGUUGAUUGGUUUGCUUGAAACAGGGUCUCUCUAUAUAGUCCUGGAACUUACUAUAUAAAACACACUGGCCUCGAAGUCAGAGGUCUGCCUGCUUCUGCCUCUGGAAUACUGGAAUUAAAGGCAUGUACCACCGUGCCCAGCUGUAUUAAGAAUACAUUAGUAAAGCUCUGUCUUAAAAUGUCUUCUAUAAAUUGUUAGGGGUGUGUAUGUGUGUAUGAAUACUCAGGCUCAGUCCUUAUGUACUAUCAGGAUGUAGGAACUAAACUGUAUUAAUGUAUUUUAAACACUAUUUUGCUAGUAUGAAAUGUAGAACAGCCUAUGUUUAAUUCUUGGGCUUUUUGUUAAUUCUGAAAGUCUUAAAAGCUGCCUUUGAUUUACCUGUAAAAUUUGACAGUUUAAAAAAAGUCUUAUAACAAAUGUGUUUAGAAAUGCCUUUUUUUAAAAAGAAGAAAAUUUUUUUUGUCUUUUGAUUUGGCAAGAGUAUUCAAUUUUCAUUCUCAUUUUUUUUUGUGAAAUAAAUAAUAUACUGAAGAAGUAGAAUUGCUAGAGAGCAAAAGAGGACAAGAAAGCAAAAAGGAAUGGUUAUUACAAGACAACUGCCAGGAAAAGCUUUUGAACAUGGAUACUGUCUUAAGUAUAAGGUAUAAAUUUAAUGUAUAAAUUUAUAGACUAAGU